UACGGAGGGGGCAAGCGUUAUUCGGAAUUAUUGGGCGUAAAGGGCGCGUAGGCGGCUAGAUGUGUCAAAGGUGAAAUCCCUCGGCUCAACUGAGGAACUGCCUUUGAAACUGUCUGGCUUGAGGCCGGGAGAGGGUAGCGGAAUUCCCAGUGUAGCGGUGAAAUGCGUAGAUAUUGGGAGAAACACCAGUGGCGAAGGCGGCUACCUGGACCGGUUCUGACGCUGAGGCGCGAAAGCGUGGGUAGCAAACAGG
rnacentral:rRNA from 1 species